rnacentral:rRNA from 1 species
UACGUAGGGUCCGAGCGUUGUCCGGAAUCAUUGGGCGUAAAGAGCGUGUAGGCGGUUCGGUAAGUCGGCUGUGAAAGUCCAGGGCUCAACCCUGGGAUGCCGGUCGAUACUGCCGGACUAGAGUCGGAAGAGGUAAGCGGAAUUCCUGGUGUAGCGGUGAAAUGCGUAGAUAUCAGGAGGAACACCUGCGGUGUAGACGGCUUACUGGACCAUAACUGACGCUGAGGCACGAAAGCGUGGGGAGCGAACAGG